CCUACGGGAGGCAGCAGUGAGGAAUAUUGGUCAAUGGACGAGAGUCUGAACCAGCCAAGUAGCGUGAAGGAUGACUGCCCUAUGGGUUGUAAACUUCUUUUAUAUGGGAAUAAAAUGUUCCACGUGUGGGAUUUUGUAUGUACCAUAUGAAUAAGGAUCGGCUAACUCCGUGCCAGCAGCCGCGGUAAUACGGAGGAUCCGAGCGUUAUCCGGAUUUAUUGGGUUUAAAGGGAGCGUAGGUGGAUUGUUAAGUCAGUUGUGAAAGUUUGCGGCCUAACCGUAAAAUUGGAGUUGAAACUGGCAGUCUUGAGUACAGUAGAGGUGGGCGGAAUUCGUGGUGUAGCGGUGAAAUGCUUAGAUAUCACGAAGAACUCCGAUUGCGAAGGCAGUUCACUGGACUGCAACUGACACUGAGGCUCGAAAGUGUGGGUAUCAAACAGGAUUAGAUACCCGGGUAGUC
rnacentral:rRNA from 1 species